rnacentral:rRNA from 1 species
UACAGAGGGUGCGAGCGUUAAUCGGAAUUACUGGGCGGAAAGCGCACGUAGUCGGCUUUGCAAGUCGGGUGUGAAAUCCCCGGGCUCAACCUGGGAACUGCAUCCGAGACUGCAUUGCUAGAGUAUGGGAGAGGGAAGCGGAAUUUCUGGUGUAGCAGUGAAAUGCGUAGAUAUCAGAAGGAACAUCAGUGGCGAAGGCGGCUUCCUGGACCAAUACUGACGAUCAGGUGCGAAAGCGUGGGGAGCAAACAGG